AGUGGCGGCGCAGUAUUCUAGUCAGAUCCGCCGUUUCCUAGGGAGGGCCUAAAAAUCCUCUGAAGGGCAUAUCGAUGAAACCUCUGGUGCCUGCUUGAUACGCCCAGUUUUGGGUGGGUGCUGGGGGGAAGCGCGGUUUUUUCGCGCUUGCGGACUCAGGGCGAUGAGCAAUGGCAUGGUCAACCCGACCCUGUUUCCGUGGAGACCUGUUCUUGUGCACAGACGUACUCCCGCGUGGUAUUUCGGCCUGUGUACGAAACAGAUUGUGAACCUGCAAUGCGGUGCAUCGCUCCCGUUCGGGGGCGUAACGCUGUGUGCAGACGUAGCCUGCCUUGCGUGGGUGUGGUGGAUGAGAGGUCAGGCCGCUGAGCCUCCGGCCGGAGCAACAGGCGGCCCUCUGCUCUUUGAAACCAGAUCUGCAAAAGAGGCUAAAGAAAUGGACGGACUGGGGUGGAAAACACCUAGGCUGUCUGAUUCCAUGGGCAGAAAAGGGAUUGCAGUGCGGACUAAGUGGCAGUCGGGUCGUGCAGACGGCAACGCUGUGCCGCGGUGUUGAAAGGGGAACCGCCUCCAUCGGCAACGGGAGGUACACCGCGGGGAAAUCCAACCCGUACCUAAGCCGUAAGAUUUACCUUUUCUGCCGCCGCC
rnacentral:sRNA from 1 species